AUUUUUACAUGAGUUAGCCCAGAUUCCUAAUUUUGCUGAACGUGCCCAGUGCAUAAUCUUCAGAUCUGUCUUUUCUGAGGGUAUCACCUCCUUGCACAGAAAGGUAGAGAUCAUCACGCGAGCUUCUAAGCAACUGUUAAUUCUGUUGGUACCAAGCCUCCCGACAGCCUAUUGAGUACACAGUCGAUAUUUGUUACUGAAUGAACAUGGGUGCAUUUGGAGUUCAGCUCCGUAAUAACUGGUGUUUGCCAUCACAGGACUUGCUGCACGUGAAGAGCGUGAAGGAUAUUUUAGCUCUCAUCUUGGCUUUUGGAAAUUAUAUGAAUGGAGGAAAUAGGACUCGGGGACAAGCCGAUGGAUAUAGCUUAGAAAUUCUGCCCAAACUCAAGGAUGUCAAAAGUCGGGUAUUUAUUUUUCAUAAUAAGUUCCCAUGAUCUGCCAUUAUUUUCUUUCUUUACCUUUAAUUUUAAAAAACGUAUUCCAGAUUGUUCCAUUUAUCUCUAUCCUCCCCUUAACAACAUUUAUAUUAGAGCAUGCAUUUUUUUGUUUGCUUUCUUUUCACUUUCGAAUAAAGAG
rnacentral:lncRNA from 1 species